UUUAUUAUGAUUUUCAGAAGCAAUGUUAAAGAUGAUACUAAGGCUAAAAUCAUAUACCGGCUCCUCAGUAGAAUUGAAAAUAUAAUGGGAAACUAUCUAGGGUUUCCAACCAAGAUUCUCAAAUCCAAAAAAAAAAAGUGACUUUAAGUUUAUUUUGUAUAUGAUUAAUAAAGAGGUGAAUGGGUGGAAGGAAAAUAGGGGUUAAACUCGUGCCGGUGAAGCUCGGCCCCUAAGAAUCAAAGGCCGGAGUAGGGUCCUUCUG
rnacentral:lncRNA from 1 species